rnacentral:rRNA from 1 species
GACAUAGGUGGCAAACGUUAUCCGGAAUUAUUGGGCGUAAAGAGCUCGUAGGCGGUCUGUUGCGUCCGCUGUGAAAACUCGGGGCUUAACCCCGAGCCUGCAGUGGAUACGGGCAGACUAGAGGUAGGUAGGGGAGAAUGGAAUUCCCGGUGUAGCGGUGAAAUGCGCAGAUAUCGGGAGGAACACCGGUGGCGAAGGCGGUUCUCUGGGCCUUACCUGACGCUGAGGAGCGAAAGCGUGGGGAGCGAACAGG